UGACAGCUGUUCUUCGCAUGUCUGUGAGAUUAAGACAUGCGAUUUUAGGCUGUCAUAAAUAAAUCUAGAAAUAUUUCACCCAUGUUUGAGGCUAUUUUAGCACUUUUCAUUCAUGGUUUUGCGAUGUCUUACAUAA
rnacentral:snoRNA from 1 species